GUCUUAAUAAUCUAAAUAAAGAUACUGGUCUUGUAAACCAGAAAUGAAUAUUAUUCUUAAGACU
rnacentral:tRNA from 1 species